GUAGUUGCUAAGGAACUGCAAAGAUUUCCCAGAAAUGAACAAAGAUGCAUGGACGUGAUCGGAGCUGUGCACAAACUUCUGGUAUCCUGAUCUGAACGAUCUCCCAUUUGCCCUUUUGUCGAGUCACGCUGUUAAGCGCAUUGAAAUAGUAGCCAUAUAAUAAAAGUAUUAAUUUUAAAUAAACAAAUCUGGUAAAAAAUCAAUCCCAAAAUGUCGCUGUCUAGAGGUCUAAAGCGUAAAAGAACAGCGACUUCAUUUAAAUCUGGAUGGCUGGAUGAGACUAUAGAGAUGGUUACACCAAAGUCACAUAGUGUAAUGCUUGUUCAACUUCAUGAAAUAGUCACAUAUGAUGAGGACAACGGAGUGGUUUGUGUAUAUUGUCGAGAUGCCAGAGCUUCAGGAGAAUUUUCAACAGGAAGAAUGUGGAACGAUGUAUGGAAGUUGGAUUUCUUAAAGCGUCAUCUGUCAAAUCCCUAUGUUCAAAAUACGAAGACUUUCUUGCUGAAGAGAUUGUUAUAGUCAGUCAGUACAAUGACUUCAAGUUUGCAGUAGCCAAAAGAAUCAAAAGCCAAUUGGUUUUAAGUUUCCCGGAUAUCGUGACAUUUGCUCACCAGAAUGAACAGUUUCAGGAUCUUGCAAAGUUGAUGGAUAUUGGAGGAACAUUCCUAGCAUCAAGUGCAGACUUGAGCGUGGCUUUAGCUUAAUGAA